rnacentral:rRNA from 1 species
AAGUCGUAACAAGGUUUCCGUAGGUGAACCUGCGGAAGGAUCAUUACCGGGUUACCAGGGGCUUUGGCCCCGCUCCCAACCCUUCGCAUCUCCGGCCUUGCUUCGGCGCACAGGGCGCAGAGGAUUCCCCCGUUCGCGGGGGGGCCCUCCGCGCCUGCCGAAUAUUGCCAACUCUGCCUCAAAACUUGAAGUCUGAGCGAAAUGAUUAAUAGCGAAAAACUUUCAACAACGGAUCUCUUGGUUCUGGCAACGAUGAAGAACGCAGCGAAAUGCGAUAAGUAAUGUGAAUUGCAGAAUUCAGUGAAUCAUCGAAUCUUUGAACGCACAUUGCGCCCCCUGGUAUUCCGGGGGGCACGCCUGUUCGAGCGCCAUUUCAACCCUCAAGCCUGGCUUGGUGAUGGGCCACGCCCGCAGGGGCGGGCCCGAAACUCGUAGGGCGCUGUCCGCCGGCUCUGAGCGUAGCAAGAGAAAUCCCUCGCUCCGGAUGACCGUCGGGUGGCCGCCUCGAAACCCCACGAAAAUAACACAAGGUUGGCCUCGGAUCAGGCGGGGAUACCCGCUGAACUUAAGCAUAUCAAUAAGCGGAGGAAAAGAAACCAACAGGGAUUGCCUCGGUAACGGCGAGUGAAGCGGCAACAGCUCAAAUUUGAAAUCUGGCGCAAGCCCGAGUUGUAAUUUGUAGAGGAUGCUUCGGGUGAAGCCACGGUCCAAGUCCCUUGGAACAGGACGUCAGAGAGGGUGAGAACCCCGUACCUGGCCGUCGGUGCCCCCCGCUGUGAAGCUCCUUCGACGAGUCGAGUUGUUUGGGAAUGCAGCUCUAAAUUGGUGGUAAAUUCCAUCUAAAGCUAAAUACCGGCCAGAGACCGAUAGCGCACAAGUAGAGUGAUCGAAAGAUGAAAAGCACUUUNAAAAGAGAGUUAAAAAGUACGUGAAAUUGUUGAAAGGGAAGCGCUUGCGGCCAGACUUGCCCGCGGAUGCUCAGCCCGUCUUUUGGCGGGUGCACUCUUCCGCGGUCAGGCCAGCAUCGGUUUGGGCGGUCGGACAAAGGCGCCGGGAACGUAGCUCCCUUCGGGGAGUGUUAUAGCCCGGCGUGCAAUGCGGCCAGCCCGGACCGAGGACCGCGCUCUGCUAGGAUGCUGGCGUAAUGGCCGUAAGCGGCC